UACGAAGGGUGCAAGCGUUACUCGGAAUUACUGGGCGUAAAGCGUGCGUAGGCGGUUUGUUAAGUCCGUUGUGAAGGCCCUGGGCUCAACCUGGGAAUUGCAGUGGAUACUGGCGAGCUAGAGUGCGGUAGAGGAUGGUGGAAUUCCCGGUGUAGAGGUGAAAUUCGUAGAUAUCGGGAGGAAUACCAGUGGCGAAGGCGGCGACCUGGGCCAAUACUGACGCUGAGGUGCGAAAGCGUGGGGAGCAAACAGG
rnacentral:rRNA from 1 species